rnacentral:lncRNA from 1 species
UGGAAGUAGGGUGAAGAGAACAAGCUUUAUUUACUUUGAAUGUUUGCCCCAAACUCCACUUUGUCCUAGUCCUACUAACACUCAUUAAAAACCAGCACUAUGUAUGAGAGCUGUGCCACUGUUCUCUCUGUAACUGGCAGCGCUUGCUUAGGGCUCCUAAGACUGGCUCCUUAUGGGGUUGGCUUUUUCAUGAGCUUCGGUGUGAGAAACAGAGAUACGCAAUAUACUGACUUCCUUUUGCAAGACAUCUGUGAAGGUCAAGACACUCUCCAAGCACUCCUUUCCUGCCUGCUGUCCCCAGCCUAACACUACGCAUGAGGAAAUAACCAGCAGCUAUCAAAGAUUGGCCUCGGCACAUCCUCCUACACCACCAGGACUGCUGGGAGGUGGUGAACUGCAUUUUCUUCUUUUUCUGUGGCUUCUGAGUGCAGAUCUCCAUUUGUGUAGAGCCAAUGAAUGGUAAAUAUCAAGUCCUUGACUUUCUUAGACCUGUGGGACUGGUGUAGAAAAAAAUAAAAGCGCUCUCAAUAGUUUUAUGCUCCUUUCUGAAGCUGACCUCUCCUCUCUGUUUGGAGUUCCUCUGCCUGGUGUACAGAGAAAUAAUAAAACAUGGCAGAGUACAGUCCAGGGUUAAAAUGUCAUACAUCCACUUUGGACUGUAUUAUGAAAUGGUACCAUGAGACUCAGGAUCAGUCUUAAGCCUCAAAUCUGAGUUCCUUUCCCUUCUGCUGCUGCUUAAAUUUUUGCCCUAGCAUUUUGUAAGUUGGCUCCAUCUUCCCCAGGAAUAUAUAGAAGGUGUCAGUUUAUAUUGCAGGUUCCAACAUCAAACUUUUUUAGUUAAAGUCCCAGCAUAAUACUUUACUAUGCAUGUGGUCAUGGCAAAAUUACUUCCCCUGAGUAAGCCUCAGUUUUCUCAUCUGCAAAUGGGAACCAAUGAUAAUGCCUAUUCAUAAGGUAGCUUUAAAGGUUAAGUGGAAUUUUAAAAAAACUCUCUUAGCACGGUGUCUAGAAAACAGUAAACACGAAAGCAUGUCUGCUGUUAGUUUUAUAUAUGCAUAUAAGCACAUAUAUAUCUAUAUCUUGGGGAGGGAGGGAUUCAUCAAGUUUGAUCAAUAACUUGAG